UCUGCCCUUGCCUUGCCACAUGGGAGAUAAAUGGAGACAAUUAAAGGAUUCAAGGGUCACUUCUCAGAAGCCUUCAUUGAUAUCCGCACAUGAUGUCUUCUCCACCUGGACCUCGGCGUUGGUUGGGGUGACUCUGUUGGGUCCACCAAUGGAGGCUCUGUGACUGCUUCUCUGUGGGUACCACACUGCCAUCCUCUGUUCUCUGCGAAGACUGCAACACGAUUAGACUCUUCUGGAUGAAACGUCUCUGCCACCCUGCUGUGCUGCUCCUGAGUCAGGAAAGAGGCAGACACAAAGGGCUGCUGACGUCCAGCCCUGGAGAAGCUCGUCUUUCCUGAGGAAGUGGCAAUUACUGCAAACACCACCGAGUGGAGCUCAGAGCAGCUGCUCCAUCUGCCAGGAGCCUAGGAUGUUGCUGAUCGCUGUCAAUCAACAGGGACCGCCAAGCCACACACUCCCAGAUAAAGGCUUUCAUGAAUGCUCAGAUUUGCAAAGGGUGGUUAAAACCAAACAAACAAAAAAAAAAACCCUACCAACACUGUCUUGGUCUGAUUGCUAAUCUGCGGCAGACAAUACCCCGUGGGAACCAAUUACUGACCACUGUUCGUUCCAGAGCCGCCAAGCCAACAGCACAUUCAGGCUCUCUGAUUUGUGACACUGGAUUGCUUUGCUCUCACAUCUGGAGCUGCUGUGCCCCUGAUACCCCCACCUCAUCACCAUGUAGGAUGCCCUUCCACUCUUGUCUUGGUCUGACCUAA
rnacentral:lncRNA from 1 species